AGCGGGAAAACAGUAGGCGGCGUAACAUUUUAACGUUGUGCGCCGACCUCGACCGAAAACGAGGAAGAAGAAGAAAGAGAAGAAGAAGCGGGAACGUUUUUGGAAACGACAACCGCAACGCUUGUGACAGAAGACUUGGAGAGGAUGGACAAAAAGAAAAUGACAACAUAAGAGGUUAAGAGUUCCCACAAAGAAAAUGAAGGACCUGCAUAAUUCUCCUCCCCCAAAUGAGUAAUCUGGGUGUUUGGCCUUCGUCAGAUGGGAGGACGGUUAUACCGUCAAAAUCUUUACUGGAGCAGACAUUUUGUCAAGAGAUGAAGCUCCUGUGCAGAUCUUAGAUCUUAGAACAGGAGAUUCUGAUUUAGCAAAGUGGUCAGAUGGUAAAUUUUAUAGGGCAACUGUUGAAUAUAUCUCAGGAAAAGUGACGGGGGACUUGUAACAGGCAGCAACACUGUUGGACCACCACCACCACCCUAUGGGUAAGAUUGACAUUUAUUACCUCAUGCCUAUGGGGCUACAAGUUCAAAACUUUUCAUCUUUAUAAAAUCAAAUUUGGUGAAUUUCCAAACCAAAAAAACAGCAUUAACUGAAAUAUUAUUUUAUCUGCCAUCAAAUAAUUGUUUCAGUAAAUAGUAUGUGAAUGACAAAUACAAAUAUUUAAUGUAUUUCAUUGCCAAAACCCCAACAUCUGUAUCCACUUUGAUUUCAGGAUUAAAAGUUCUGAACUUGUGGACCCUGAAAACAAUUAUUUGCCAUCAUUUUAUUACUUUUUAAUCAUGGUCAAAAUGUUCAUAGAGUGUAAAUAUCCACUCUACAAUCUCAUGUGUCAAAACUAGGGAGUAAAAAAAUUAACAUUUCAUGUCAUGGUUACAAUUGUUAUUACAGUAUUGAUAAAUGU